UACGGGGGGGGGCAAGCGUUGUUCGGAAUUACUGGGCGUAAAGGGCGCGUAGGCGCCUUCUAAGUCGGACGUGAAAUCCCUCGGCUUAACCGAGGAACUGCGUCCGAUACUGAAAGGCUUGAAUCCGGGAGAGGGAUGUGGAAUUCCAGGUGUAGCGGUGAAAUGCGUAGAUAUCUGGAGGAACACCGGUGGCGAAGGCGGCAUCCUGGACCGGCAUUGACGCUGAGGCGCGAAAGCUAGGGGAGCAAACGGG
rnacentral:rRNA from 1 species